CUUCAUUUCCAGCUUCAUCCAAGGUCACCCUCAUGGCAUUCUUCUCUAGUAGAGCUGGCAGUCUCUUAUUUACUGUUAAGUAUUUGUUACUUUUUAAGUGAAGCAGCUGGAUCACAUUGCCAUACUGGAUAACUGUUCCCAGCAGCUUUCUGUUUUCAGUUUCAUUCUGCUUCUUUUCCAAAUCGGCUGCAUGGUGAAGCUUGUUGAGCAGCACUGCAUCUGUCGUGCUGUUGGCUCC
rnacentral:lncRNA from 1 species